UACGUAGGGGGCAAGCGUUGUCCGGAAUCAUUGGGCGUAAAGCGCGUGUAGGCGGCUCGAUAAGUCUGCUGUGAAAGUUCAGGGCUCAACCCUGAAAUGCCGGUGGAAACUGUCGAGCUAGAGUCCGGAAGAGGCGAGUGAAAUUCCUGGUGUAGCGGUGAAAUGCGCAGAUAUCAGGAGGAACACCAACGGCGAAGGCAGCUCGCUGGGACGGUACUGACGCUGAGACGCGAAAGCGUGGGGAGCAAACAGG
rnacentral:rRNA from 1 species